UACGUAGGUGGCAAGCGUUGUCCGGAAUUAUUGGGCGUAAAGCGCGCGCAGGCGGUCCUUUAAGUCUGAUGUGAAAGCCCACGGCUCAACCGUGGAGGGUCAUUGGAAACUGGGGGACUUGAGUGCAGGAGAGAAAAGUGGAAUUCCACGUGUAGCGGUGAAAUGCGUAGAGAUGUGGAGGAACAGCAGGGGCGAAGGCGACGUGUUGGCCUGUAACUGACGCUGAGGCGCGAAAGCGUGGGGAGCAAACAGG
rnacentral:rRNA from 1 species